CUAGAUUCCAGACUGGGGUAGGGGGGCGUCUUUAGGCAAGAUUAAGAGCUUCCAAAGCUCAGCUGCACUGGUGCAGAUAUCUAAUGGAGAUGGGCAGCUUAGUUUGCUGGUGGCCUGUGCACUGGGUGGUCAUUUCACCAAUGCAAAAGAACGUUACAAAGAUACCAGCAGAGCGAGCAGUGAGCACAACUCUUAACUGGCAAAAUACAAGAGCCCUCUAUGAUUUAUGCGUUUUGAUCUGAAUGAUGAGAAAGAUCCAGACUAAAUGAGAUUGCAACAGUUGUAGGAAGCACAUACUGUAUGAGACAAUCAAAGCCAAAUGUGACAGUUUAUAGCUGAAUGCAACCAAUUGUUGUAUGGAGUGUUACUUUAAAAAAAAAUCUACUCUAGUAGAGCAUACAAGACUGUAGCAUUACUUGGAAUUACAUUUCUCUAGUGUAGGGACACUUGAAAUCUGGGCCAUGGAAUUAUUGUAGCAGUGAAAAGUACAUAUAAGGUUGAUACUAUGCCAUGUAUGGA